UCAGGCCACACCCCCCUUCCCGAGGCCACGCCCACUUUCCUCCUAAGCCCCGCCCCCUCCCUCAGGCUCAGCGAAUCCCUGACGCGGGACGGCGCUCAGAUCCGCGCCCACAUCCGCCUGGUGCUGGAGGGCCUGCGGGAGCUGCAAGGCUUCCAGGAUCCUACAAGUGACCUCUGACCCUUGGGGUGACCUUUGACCUCGGGGUGACCUCUGACCCUUUUGGGAGGGGGGGGGGGCAAACCGGAAGCUGCUCUUUCGAACUGGGGAUGAAGGGUAAAAAAUGGGUGUAAUGGUGGAGUAAAGCCGGACUGUGAAGCUGGGA